GAUGAACGCUAGCGGCAGGCUUAACACAUGCAAGUCGAGGGGUAUAGUUCUUCGGAACUAGAGACCGGCGCACGGGUGCGUAACGCGUAUGUAAUCUACCUUUUACAGGGGGAUAGCCCAGAGAAAUUUGGAUUAAUACCCCAUAGUAUGUUGUGGUGGCAUCACUAUAACCUUAAAGGUCCAACGGCAAAAGAUGAGCAUGCGUCCCAUUAGCUAGAUGGUAAGGUAACGGCUUACCAUGGCUACGAUGGGUAGGGGUCCUGAGAGGGAGAUCCGCCACACUGGAACGGAGACACGGUCCAGACUCCUACGGGAGGCAGCAGGGGGGAAUUUUGGACAAUGGGCGAAAGCCUGAUCCAGCCAUUCCGCGUGCAGGAUGAAGGCCCUCGGGUUGUAAACUGCUUUUGUACAGAACGAAAAGGUAUCUACUAAUACUAGGAGCUCAUGACGGUACUGUAAGAAUAAGCACCGGCUAACUACGUGCCAGCCGCCGCCGUAA
rnacentral:rRNA from 1 species